rnacentral:rRNA from 1 species
UACGGGGGGAGCAAGCGUUGUUCGGAUUUACUGGGCGUAAAGGGCGCGUAGGCGGCCACUGCAAGUCAGUUUUGAAAUCUCCGGGCUUAACCCGGAAAGGUCAACUGAUACUGCAGGGCUAGAGUGCAGAAGGGGCAACUGGAAUUCUCGGUGUAGCGGUGAAAUGCGUAGAUAUCGAGAGGAACACCUGCGGCGAAGGCGGGUUGCUGGGCCGACACUGACGCUGAUGCGCGAAAGCCAGGGGAGCGAACGGG